UUUUUUAUUUUUUCUUAAAUAGAUGUAUAUCUCAAUAUUCUUCAGACAUUGGGCUUACAUGUACUAACACUUCACAUAUGACCUAAUCUGCUAGCCUAAGCACCUUAUGUGCAUCACUGGUUUUAAUAAUUGGAUCAAAUGUCACAUUCUUUUUUAAAGGUCCAAAGAAAGAGCUGGAGUCAACAGGGAGGAAGGCAGAACCAAGCCUGCAGAAUUUUGAAGUACAGCCUCCGGGUCAAACAGCAUUUUCUGUAUCAAAUAUCCCUCGUACAGAUGCAUGGCAUGAUAUCACAAGACAGUUGUCUCCUAUACAACAGAUGUCCCUCAAAACUAGCUCUAAAAAAUCAGCAGUAUUUUUAUGAAAAGCAGUAAUGGAGAUUAUAUCUAGAUAGGUAUUGAGGUUAGAAAAAAUGUAUCAGCAACUGCACCAAAAAAAUGACAAAAAAGUGCGCACUUUUGUUUGCUCAAUUAAAUUUGUCUUUCUUAUUUUUCUGCAGUCCUUAAUAGCAUUUUUAUAGCUAGUGUAGGUAAUAUAUGCCACAUUAUUAUGUAUUACAUCAUGAUAUGUAUACUGAAAAGAACAAAGUCAGAAGUAUAACUUCUUAAAGUUAACCUUAUUGCCCUCCUUAGGGGCUCAUUCCAUGCUGCUCUAUAGCCUCCCUACAUACAACUUUCAUAUCUGCCUUUCAGGGUUGGCUUUCAGAUCUCAGUAUGCUGAUCCCUCUGUACCUCUCUUUAUCUGUUUGGAUGGAUGAGAGAUUUUUUUUUUUUAUGCUGGCACGUUUUAACUGUGCAGAAUCAGGAUCCUAGAAUUAUUGCUUAACAGAUGGAGGGAAAUGCUUCCACGUUUGUGCUUCUGACCUUACACAAAUGUACACAAAUAUAUACAAACUUAAUACAGACAUUAAUUAAUUAAUCCACAUUGCUAGCACUGUUUCACAACCUUCAUCUCUCAGCACUGCAUAUAUGAGGUGUUUAACCAUUACCUAUCUUCCUAGCACAUAUUACAUUAUUCCAAUAAUUUCAAAACAUUUCCAGUCAAAACCAAUAUAGAGAUUCAGCACCAGCUCCGCUUGUAUUAAAAAUGAAUCCUUAUGCAGCACCAGUUUUGCUAGGUAUGAGUUGCUGCAAAGGCUUAACGCAGCACAGCAGCUAAUGAUGAAAUAACACAGGGGUAUUAUCAAGGUUCUGUCAUUACCACCCCUGUCCAAUUACUACCCUACUAACCAGUAUAAAAAGACAUGCAUUCUCUUCUUGUGUUACCAUGCCUUAACGGGCAAACAUUUGACGUGCUACAGCUUUCUGGCAAUAACCAUUUGGACAUAUAAGCCAGAAAAGUUAAAUUUGCAAAACAUUUUUAUUCUCUAAAUACCUUCUUAUUUCUCUCCUUAAAAAUGCCUUACAAGAACUGUUUUGGUUUUUUUUUUUUUUAAAUCAUGUAGAAGACUGUUUACGAAAUAUUCCAAAUAUAAAUUAUGUACUUUUUCAAUGAACAGUUCUGAGGAUGAGAGAGAUCAUAACAACAUGGAGAGAGAAAGCAUUUGUUUAACACUUCCUGGAAAAUCUCAAGACUUAAUGAACUGGGCUACAAGGGGCAUGUCAAAACACAGUGUACUAAUCUGACACCCACCUCUUUGUUCUUUGGAAAUCUUAGAAAUGACCACUGGAAUAUUAUGUUCUGCUCCACCCUGAAAACAGAAUAAAUGGCAAUUUUGUCAGUCACUAGAAAUAGCUCUUUGCUUAAAAUUAAGUUUACCCUUUCUCUAACUGCAGGUUUCUAUUCUGCAUUUCCUCUUUCUUAAAAAAAAACAACAAAAAACCAACCAAAAAAAAA
rnacentral:lncRNA from 1 species